GCUUGUCUCAAAGAUUAAGCCAUGCAUGUCUAAGUAUAAACAAAUUUAUACCGUGAAACUGCGAAUGGCUCAUUAUAUCAGUUAUAGUUUAUUUGAUGGUCCUUGCUACUUGGAUAACCGUAGUAAUUCUAGAGCUAAUACAUGCAUCAAACCCCAACUUCUGGAAGGGGUGUAUUUAUUAGAUGGAAACCAAUGCGGGUUCUGCCCGGUUUUGUGUUGAAUCAUAGUAACUUUUCGAAUCGCAUGGCUUCACGCCGGCGAUAGUUCAUUCAAAUUUCUGCCCUAUCAGCUUUCGACGGUAGUGUAGUGGACUACCGUGGCGUUAACGGGUAACGGAGAAUUAGGGUUCGAUUCCGGAGAGGGAGCCUGAGAAACGGCUACCACAUCUAAGGAAGGCAGCAGG
rnacentral:rRNA from 1 species